rnacentral:rRNA from 1 species
GCCCGCUCAGAACUAAAGGAAUUGACGGGGCCCGCACAAGCGGUGGAGCAUGUGGUUAAUUCGAUGAUACGCGAGGAACCUUACCUGGGCUCAAAUGUAUGUUGACGUAUUCUGAAAGGGAUACUUCUUCGGACAAUAUACAAGGUGCUGCAUGGUUGUCGUCAGCUCGUGCCGUGAGGUGUCGGGUUAAGUCCCAUAACGAGCGCAACCCCUAUCAUUAGUUGCCAUCAGGUCAAGCUGGGGACUCUAAUGAAACUGCCUACGCAAGUAGUGAGGAAGGUGGGGAUGACGUCAAAUCAGCACGGCCCUUACGUCCAGGGCUACACACGUGCUACAAUGGCCGGUACAAAGGGCAGCUACCUGGUGACAGGAUGCUAAUCUCAAAAGCCGGUCUCAGUUCGGAUCGGAGUCUGCAACCCGACUCCGUGAAGUUGGAAUCGCUAGUAAUCGUGGAUCAGCAUGCCACGGUGAAUACGUUCCCGGGCCUU